UGGUGGAGUGAUUUGUCUAGUUAAUUCCGUUAACGAACGAGACCUUAGCCGCCUGAAUACUUACACGUAACAUCGGUUACGUGGGAAACUCCUCAGAAAGACUUUGCGUUUCUAACGCAAGGAUGUUUGAGGCAAUAACA
rnacentral:rRNA from 1 species